CUACAUCUACUGAUAGACCUAGAAUCAUUUGUGGCUGUUCUUGAUAUCUGUACAAGAAAGUAGAGGAAACCACUUCUGGUGUUUUCUCUCUCCAUUUUUGGUUCAGAUUGAUGUAGGGGGUUGAACU